GGGCUAGGCUGCUCAUGAGAACAGCCUCACUGAGUGUGAGAUAACAAUGAAAGAUCCAAGCAGAAAUGUCAGAAAGAUCGUUGGAAAUAUGGGAUUAGAUGGAAGGAGAAAAUUCUGGAGUAGGGGACUGAACUGGGUGUCAUCAGCAUACAGGCAGUUCUGAAAGCCAUGGGGUUUGAUGAGAUCAACCAGGGACAGUGUGUAGAGGUUGAAUAGCAGGGGGCUGAGAACAGAUGCCUGCAGAACCCUGAUGGAGAGAGAGAGGGAAAAUAAAGGAAGCGCUUUCCCUGUGGAGAUACUGGAAGAACCUUUAGACAGAUAUCAAAUAUUUAGUCAAUCUGAGAUUGAUAUUUAAAUAUGCACAUGACGUCUCAAGAACAUUUUUAUACAAAUAUGUUUUGAGGAGAAUUUGGGGUUGGGGUGAGGCGGACAGAUUCACUCCAGCUCCAUUGAGGCCAAUUAAGGAAUGAAUGUCUUCAGAUCAGCUUCUCUCCCAAAAUGGUUUCUCCCCCUGCUGCUAGUAACGAGACCGCUUGUUGGGCUUGUUUUCACUCUAGAGAGCUUUUGUUUUGUUUCUUAAACCCAUUCUUGGCUUUUAGUGACCUCAUUUCAGGCACAGAAAGCAGCUGGGAAAACAAGGGCGUUCUGAAAGCAGCAGCUGCCUCAGGCCAGGCUGGAAGAUAGCAAGAGCUAUGAGGGAAAUGGGUUUCACCUCAUGUGACUGGGUGGUCCAUGUACAAUUUUGGACGCCACAGGAAGGAACUUGGGGAACUUAAUGCACUCUUCAAAUCAAAUGACUCCUGGUCUUUCUCAGCCCUAUUUGGAGUUGCCAAGGAUUGAACCUGAGACCUUUGUACUGAAAACAGGGAAACAAGUUGGGGAAGAUCACCAAUCAAGUUAACGUGUUUGGAGAAGAUCUAGUUUAUUUGAACCUUGGAACUGCAAUUUUUCUUAACUGUCAAGGAGCAAAUCCUCCUUUUGGAAGAGGAACUGAGCUCAGAGAAUGUGUGCCUAAGAGUCAUAUUCCUCCCUGGUUCAUACAGGAGACCCUCAUUAUUUGCGAGUUCUCUGUCCACAGUUUUGUAUAUUCACAGUUGGGUCAUAGAGACCCAGUUUCUUUAACUGCAGAGCAAAAAUGGGGUAUUUUUGCCUAUCCACGGCUUCUGAUGUCAUUUCCGGCCACCAAUUUGUAUCACAGAGCCAUUUUGUGGCUCUUUUCUUUUUUAAAAAAUACUCAAAAUGUGGGUUUUGGGGAGACAUCACUGGAGGGCAAGGGACUGUGCUUAUUUCUGCCCUCCCCCCACUUUCUGGUGAUUUGGUGAUUCUGAUUGUGGUGAUUCUGGUUCAGAGUGCUUAGGAACCUAACCCUCCCAAUCCCAUAGAAUUAAGGUUUCUUUAUUUGUGGUUUCAAUAUUGAGAAUGGAACACCCAGAAAUAAAGAGGGUCUUCUGUGCCCCUAAAUGCACCAUACUAAUACCAUUGUUUUUAUUUGGCAUGUUAAGGGAUGGUUCAAAUGAAUUACCUCUGCCUGCCACAUGGGUAGGAGGCAGCACGCUGGGUGGAAAUGUGCAUGCCCAUGCACUCCUCCACAUAUUUAAGACAAGUGGCUCAGUGUAUUGUCCCACUCUGAACUGGCUCAAACAUUUCUCAAUACAAUACAGUUAUGCAACAGCUUAAAAAAUAAUGCAAAAAGUCAAUAGUGCUAGAAAUAAAUCACCACCACCAUGCAUGGGGUAUGCCAACAAGAAACUCAUUAUAUUAGGUUUUCAAAGGCAGAACUGGGUAACAGCUACAGUAUUUACAGAAGUUGUUUAUUGAGGGGCUUUUUUCAUAUCCUGGGUAAACAAUGAAAGGGUGACACAAAAAGGAGCACACAAAAAUAUAGCCAUUUAAUCAUGACCUGGUGGGUGUGGCUCCUGAGGAAGCAUCUAGAAAACAGGAAGUGAAGCUCUGACUGCAUUAAAGGUGAAACAUAAAACUUCAGACAUAUAUGCCAAGAGCUGCGUUUAUAUGAUCAAGGAAAAUCUCCCUUUAAAAGCAAGUCAUGGGAGAAGCCUGCUCUUAUAUUACCCCGCUGUGAUGUGGAUCACAUUGCCCUUGCAGGCUCCAAUGUAGAUUGGAGCCAACUGCCCAGCCUUUUGGCUUUAUAUUCAGAGCACAAGCCCUGAUCACUUUCUGCUUUUCUCCUUGUUCUGAAGUUACUGGGUUCUCAAGAGGUUUGGGGAGUUGUUUGGUGGUUUGUUUGUUAAAAUUAAUCACAUUUUAAUGCUCAUUUCCUUUGACAAUUACAUAGUCUUGGACUUUGGAUACAUGUAUUUCAGCAAUGUCAAACGCAGUUCAUGACAACUACCCUACAUACCUGACAAAACACUGUUUCUAAAGCAUGGCUUGCUUGCAUUACAUCAGCUUUCCAAAUUCAUUUAAUACUGAGUUCAGCUGGAGUCAAUAGUUCCAAGAGGAUGAGCUGUCUACUGAAAGAAAGGGAAAUGGCUGGAUCUCUAGUCAGUCAUGAAACUCAGUGGGUAGCACUGGGUAAAGUAAACCACCUUUCGGCCCAAGCCUGCCUGCUUCACAGUAUUGUUGAGAGAAUGCAUGAAGUGUGGAUUCCCUCGCCCCACGUGACACACACAAACACUGAAAAGAGUUUUCUAAAUGGUUAAUAACAACAGUAAUAAUAAUUGGCUUUUGGAAGUCUGUUCCUUAUAACUUAAAACCUGGCAUAGAGUGAAUACUGCCCUCUGCAAACUGAAACAUAAUUAUUUUUAUUCCUUCUGAAACACGAUAAAAUCUUUGUUCUACAAUAUCUACAGCCAAAUGCUUGACGUCUAUGUUUCUGCCUUUUUCAUUGAUGUAAUUUUUCAAUUUCCUGUUUGCGUCCAGGCUUGAUUUAUUUUCCAUUGAUUUUGGUUUGAGUGAAACCAUUAAAAAGCUUGGCACUUGGGUC